rnacentral:rRNA from 1 species
UUGGAGGGCAAGUCUGGUGCCAGCAGCCGCGGUAAUUCCAGCUCCAAUAGCGUAUAUUAAAGUUGUUGCAGUUAAAAAGCUCGUAGUUGAAUUUCGGGAUCAAUACGUCGGUCGUGCCUCCGGUAUGUACUGGUGUUAUUGAUUUCUCCCUUCUGAUGAACCAUGAUGUCAUUAAUUUGAUGUUGUGGGGAGUCAGGACUGUUACUUUGAAAAAAUUAGAGUGUUUAAAGCAGGCUCACGCUUGAAUACAUUAGCAUGGAAUAAUGAAAUAGGACGUUCGAUUCUAUUUUGUUGGUUUCUAGGAUCAACGUAAUGAUUAAUAGGGAUAGUUGGGGGCAUUAGUAUUCAAUUGUCAGAGGUGAAAUUCUUGGAUUUAUUGAAGACUAACUACUGCGAAAGCAUUUGCCAAGGAUGUUUUCAUUAAUCAAGAACGAAAGUUAGGGGAUCGAAGACGAUCAGAUACCGUCGUAGUCUUAACCAUAAACUAUGCCGACUAGGGAUCGGAUGAUGUUAAUUUUUUAAUGACUCAUUCGGCGCCUUACGGGAAAC